rnacentral:rRNA from 1 species
GACGAACGCUGGCGGCGUGCCUAAUACAUGCAAGUCGAACGAACUCUGGUAUUGAUUGGUGCUUGCAUCAUGAUUUACAUUUGAGUGAGUGGCGAACUGGUGAGUAACACGUGGGAAACCUGCCCAGAAGCGGGGGAUAACACCUGGAAACAGAUGCUAAUACCGCAUAACAACUUGGACCGCAUGGUCCGAGUUUGAAAGAUGGCUUCGGCUAUCACUUUUGGAUGGUCCCGCGGCGUAUUAGCUAGAUGGUGNGGUAACGGCUCACCAUGGCAAUGAUACGUAGCCGACCUGAGAGGGUAAUCGGCCACAUUGGGACUGAGACACGGCCCAAACUCCUACGGGAGGCAGCAGUAGGGAAUCUUCCACAAUGGACGAAAGUCUGAUGGAGCAACGCCGCGUGAGUGAAGAAGGGUUUCGGCUCGUAAAACUCUGUUGUUAAAGAAGAACAUAUCUGAGAGUAACUGUUCAGGUAUUGACGGUAUUUAACCAGAAAGCCACGGCUAACUACGUGCCAGCAGCCGCGGUAAUACGUAGGUGGCAAGCGUUGUCCGGAUUUAUUGGGCGUAAAGCGAGCGCAGGCGGUUUUUUAAGUCUGAUGUGAAAGCCUUCGGCUCAACCGAAGAAGUGCAUCGGAAACUGGGAAACUUGAGUGCAGAAGAGGACAGUGGAACUCCAUGUGUAGCGGUGAAAUGCGUAGAUAUAUGGAAGAACACCAGUGGCGAAGGCGGCUGUCUGGUCUGUAACUGACGCUGAGGCUCGAAAGUAUGGGUAGCAAACAGGAUUAGAUACCCUGGUAGUCCAUACCGUAAACGAUGAAUGCUAAGUGUUGGAGGGUUUCCGCCCUUCAGUGCUGCAGCUAACGCAUUAAGCAUUCCGCCUGGGGAGUACGGCCGCAAGGCUGAAACUCAAAGGAAUUGACGGGGGCCCGCACAAGCGGUGGAGCAUGUGGUUUAAUUCGAAGCUACGCGAAGAACCUUACCAGGUCUUGACAUACUAUGCAAAUCUAAGAGAUUAGACGUUCCCUUCGGGGACAUGGAUACAGGUGGUGCAUGGUUGUCGUCAGCUCGUGUCGUGAGAUGUUGGGUUAAGUCCCGCAACGAGCGCAACCCUUAUUAUCAGUUGCCAGCAUUAAGUUGGGCACUCUGGUGAGACUGCCGGUGACAAACCGGAGGAAGGUGGGGAUGACGUCAAAUCAUCAUGCCCCUUAUGACCUGGGCUACACACGUGCUACAAUGGAUGGUACAACGAGUUGCGAACUCGCGAGAGUAAGCUAAUCUCUUAAAGCCAUUCUCAGUUCGGAUUGUAGGCUGCAACUCGCCUACAUGAAGUCGGAAUCGCUAGUAAUCGCGGAUCAGCAUGCCGCGGUGAAUACGUUCCCGGGCCUUGUACACACCGCCCGUCACACCAUGAGAGUUUGUAACACCCAAAGUCGGUGGGGUAACCUUUUAGGAACCAGCCGCCUAAGGUGGGACAGAUGAUUAGGGUGAAGUCGUAACAAGGUAGCCGUAGGAGAACCUGC